AACGAACGCUGGCGGCAGGCUUAACACAUGCUAGUCGAACGCCCCGCAAGGGGAGUGGCAGACGGGUGAGUAACGCGUGGGAACAUACCCUUUUCUACGGAAUAGCUCUGGGAAACUGGAAUUAAUACCGUAUACGCCCUACGGGGGAAAGAUUUAUCGGGGAAGGAUUGGCCCGCGUUGGAUUAGCUAGUUGGUGAGGUAAUGGCUUACCAAGGCGACGAUCUAUAGCUGUUCUGAGAGGAAGAUCAGCCACACUGGGACUGAGACACGGCCCAGACUCCUACGGGAGGCAGCAGCUAGGAAUAUUGGACAAUGGGCGCAAGCCUGAUCCAGCCAUGCCGCGUGAGUGAUGAAGGCCUUCGGGUUGUAAAGCUCUUUAGCCGACGAAUAUAAUGACUGUAGUCGGAGAAUAAGCCCCGGCUAACUUCGUGCCAGCAGCCGCAGUAACAC
rnacentral:rRNA from 1 species